rnacentral:rRNA from 1 species
CUAAGCAUCAGGUAACAUCAAAUCGUACCCCAAACCGACACAGGUGGUCAGGUAGAGAAUACCAAGGCGCUUGAGAGAACUCGGGUGAAGGAACUAGGCAAAAUGGUGCCGUAACUUCGGGAGAAGGCACGCUGAUAUGUAGGUGAAGUCCCUCGCGGAUGGAGCUGAAAUCAGUCGAAGAUACCAGCUGGCUGCAACUGUUUAUUAAAAACACAGCACUGUGCAAACACGAAAGUGGACGUAUACGGUGUGACGCCUGCCCGGUACCGGAAGGUUAAUUGAUGGGGUUAGCCGCAAGGCGAAGCUCUUGAUCGAAGCCCCGGUAAACGGCGGCCGUAACUAUAACGGUCCUAAGGUAGCGAAAUUCCUUGUCGGGUAAGUUCCGACCUGCACGAAUGGCGUAAUGAUGGCCAGGCUGUCUCCACCCGAGACUCAGUGAAAUUGAACUCGCUGUGAAGAUGCAGUGUACCCGCGGCAAGACGGAAAGACCCCGUGAACCUUUACUAUAGCUUGACACUGAACAUUGAGCCUUGAUGUGUAGGAUAGGUGGGAGGCUUAGAAGUGUGGACGCCAGUCUGCAUGGAGCCGACCUUGAAAUACCACCCUUUAAUGUUUGAUGUUCUAACGUUGACCCGUAAUCCGGGUUGCGGACAGUGUCUGGUGGGUAGUUUGACUGGGGCGGUCUCCUCCUAAAGAGUAACGGAGGAGCACGAAGGUUGGCUAAUCCUGGUCGGACAUCAGGAGGUUAGUGCAAUGGCAUAAGCCAGCUUGACUGCGAGCGUGACGGCGCGAGCAGGUGCGAAAGCAGGUCAUAGUGAUCCGGUGGUUCUGAAUGGAAGGGCCAUCGCUCAACGGAUAAAAGGUACUCCGGGGAUAACAGGCUGAUACCGCCCAAGAGUUCAUAUCGACGGCGGUGUUUGGCACCUCGAUGUCGGCUCAUCACAUCCUGGGGCUGAAGUAGGUCCCAAGGGUAUGGCUGUUCGCCAUUUAAAGUGGUACGCGAGCUGGGUUUAGAACGUCGUGAGACAGUUCGGUCCCUAUCUGCCGUGGGCGCUGGAGAACUGAGGGGGGCUGCUCCUAGUACGAGAGGACCGGAGUGGACGCAUCACUGGUGUUCGGGUUGUCAUGCCAAUGGCACUGCCCGGUAGCUAAAUGCGGAAGAGAUAAGUGCUGAAAGCAUCUAAGCACGAAACUUGCC